AUGAACGCUAGCUACAGGCUUAACACAUGCAAGUCGAGGGGCAGCAUGGUCUUAGCUUGCUAAGGCCGAUGGCGACCGGCGCACGGGUGAGUAACACGUAUCCAACCUGCCGUCUACUCUUGGACAGCCUUCUGAAAGGAAGAUUAAUACAAGAUGGCAUCAUGAGUCCACAUGUUCACAUGAUUAAAGGUAUUCCGGUAGACGAUGGGGAUGCGUUCCAUUAGAUAGUAGGCGGGGUAACGGCCCACCUAGUCUUCGAUGGAUAGGGGUUCUGAGAGGAAGGUCCCCCACAUUGGAACUGAGACACGGUCCAAACUCCUACGGGAGGCAGCAGUGAGGAAUAUUGGUCAAUGGGCGAGAGCCUGAACCAGCCAAGUAGCGUGAAGGAUGACUGCCCUAUGGGUUGUAAACUUCUUUUAUAAAGGAAUAAAGUCGGGUAUGCAUACCCGUUUGCAUGUACUUUAUGAAUAAGGAUCGGCUAACUCCGUGCCAGCAGCCGCGGUAAUACGGAGGAUCCGAGCGUUAUCCGGAUUUAUUGGGUUUAAAGGGAGCGUAGAUGGAUGUUUAAGUCAGUUGUGAAAGUUUGCGGCUCAACCGUAAAAUUGCAGUUGAUACUGGAUAUCUUGAGUGCAGUUGAGGCAGGCGGAAUUCGUGGUGUAGCGGUGAAAUGCUUAGAUAUCACGAAGAACUCCGAUUGCGAAGGCAGCCUGCUAAGCUGCAACUGACAUUGAGGCUCGAAAGUGUGGGUAUCAAACAGGAUUAGAUACCCUGGUAGUCCACGCCGUAAACGAUGAGUGCUAAGUGUUGGAGGGUUUCCGCCCUUCAGUGCUGCAGCAAACGCAUUAAGCACUCCGCCUGGGGAGUACGACCGCAAGGUUGAAACUCAAAGGAAUUGACGGGGGCCCGCACAAGCGGAGGAACAUGUGGUUUAAUUCGAUGAUACGCGAGGAACCUUACCCGGGCUUAAAUUGCAGAUGAAUUACGGUGAAAGCCGUAAGCCGCAAGGCAUCUGUGAAGGUGCUGCAUGGUUGUCGUCAGCUCGUGCCGUGAGGUGUCGGCUUAAGUGCCAUAACGAGCGCAACCCUUGUUGUCAGUUACUAACAGGUUCCGCUGAGGACUCUGACAAGACUGCCAUCGUAAGAUGUGAGGAAGGUGGGGAUGACGUCAAAUCAGCACGGCCCUUACGUCCGGGGCUACACACGUGUUACAAUGGGGGGUACAGAGGGCCGCUACCACGCGAGUGGAUGCCAAUCCCCAAAACCUCUCUCAGUUCGGACUGGAGUCUGCAACCCGACUCCACGAAGCUGGAUUCGCUAGUAAUCGCGCAUCAGCCACGGCGCGGUGAAUACGUUCCCGGGCCUUGUACACACCGCCCGUCAAGCCAUGGGAGCCGGGGGUACCUGAAGUGCGUAACCGCGAGGAGCGCCCUAGGGUAAAACUGGUGACUGGGGCU
rnacentral:rRNA from 1 species